rnacentral:sRNA from 1 species
AAACUUGCUCAUUUGGAAGCCUCGCGCCACCAUGGGCUUUGGCUUUAAAAAAGCAGGAUUU